rnacentral:lncRNA from 1 species
CCAAGCAGAACGGGGAUGGAUUGACGAACUUACAAUGCACAUAAGUGAGACGGAUACAGAGCUACUGCCUGGUUACCAAAUCCUCGGCACACAACAGCUUAUCUUGUUGUUGGGAGCAAAAAGUGUUUCAUGGCUCGCCGAGCUUGUCCAGUUUCCACACUGCUUGAACAGAUGAUAGCACAUGAAUUCCGAUUGACGGGAUUGAUCCAAUGCGCCAGGGCACUGCUUGUCCCAAUACCUCCUACGCCUAACUACGUGCCAGCAGCCAAUCUAGCUAACCUCAGCGACGAGUAACAGAAGGAGAAAAGACAUGCACAAGCAGUUUGCUUUUCAUGGGAAGAAGAGGAUGGGAGGGCUGGGGUAUUGUAAUGAGCCGUCUAGGAGGGUACAUAUAACGAGCCAGGAGUGAGUAUUAUAAAGAUAAAAGGUCAGCGGGAGACAGUUCUAUCGGUAGAAGAAACAUAUUUAUGUUUCUAUGUACCUAACUAUCUAUGCAAAUCACAGACUGAAGGAAAUAACUACACUAAUCAGAGAAAUCAGUACAUGCAUCAAUGUUGUGACUGCUCAGAUCAUAUUAUUAGAAUUUAUUUUUAUACAAAUUCGGUAGAAUUUUCACAGUAAUUAGAGAUAUCAGUCCAUAAAGCUAUGUCAUGAUAACUCAGAUCUUUUAUAAGAUUUUUCUCUUUUUCCCACGUGAAUCUUCUUCUUCAUAACCUGUUACGUGCGAUAAGAAACCUAGACGAAACCAAU